GACAUGGUGGCUCAGUGGUUAGAGCGCCCGCCUCAUGAACGGGAGGUUGUGCAUGGGUUCGAACCCCGGCCGAGUCA
rnacentral:tRNA from 1 species